UUCACAAUGAUAAAGAAAAACAAUACUUAGAGCCAUAUGUUUUCCUUAUUUAACAAGAUAGUAAUUUCUGAACUGAUGUACCAUAACUGACCUCUACUAACUGCUCCCAAUAGUUGGACUGUUUAAUGACCAGUUACACAGGAAGAUCAUUAUUGAGGCUAUUGAUUAAGCUAAUCACGUAUUGGAAUUCAAAGGUUACUGAAUGGCCAAAUAUUUAGUGAUCAAAUGCUUACACAAUCCAGUUUGAUCAACCCAAUUAUGCAUACAAAGUUGAUUACAAUGCACAACCAAGAAAAUCAUAUGAAACUGUCAAAAUAACGAAAAUUAUCAAAAUAACAAAUCUACAGCAAACGCUCCAGUUUCAUUUCAUUGUUGUCAACAGGAGAUGAUACAUCAAAACAGGAUAGAGAUGUGUACCUGGAAUUGCAAAGUAACAAAAGGAAAGAGGAGAAUUAGCGGCAAUUUACAC
rnacentral:lncRNA from 1 species